AGCCCGGAUGGGGGAGCAGCGCCCGCGGGUCAGAGGGGACGCGGCGAGCCGCGGGGCACGACGGGAGCCGCUCGAGCUGUGCCCUGGGAGACGGCGCGUUCGCAGCCACUGACGCAUGCGCGGUUGCGAAGCCGCGCCCUGAGCGGGCGGCCUCGCCCCCCUGCGGCUGUGGCCCCGUCCCCCAGCGCUCGUCCCGCGGGUUGCAGGCCGCUCAGGCCGCCUCCUCCAGUCCGCGGCUGCGGGCACUGCUCAGCCGUCCCCGGCCCUAAGGGGGGCUCAGGACGGAUAGGGGCGGGCCCCUCGAAGCUGAUCACUUCAUUAUCAAGAUCAUUGGUUAUGGGUUAUAAGAAAAGCCAUUUCAGGAAAUAAAG
rnacentral:lncRNA from 1 species